CUCGCUCGGAAGGCGACAACAGUUCUGCAAAACCUGUCAGUUCUUCUAAGGGCCUCUCUUUUUUCCUAUGGCUGAAACAGAAACAUCCAGCCAGACUUGAUGUUACUUCUGUAUUCAUUCCGGAAGCCCCUCCCCUUCAGUCAUAAAUGAUUCUCAUGAAAUUGGAGCCUAUCCCAGCCCCUGGGGUCCAAGGCAGUAACUAAACCAAGCUGGAACACUGAUCCAUUGCAAAUAUAUUCAAACACAAGUCCCUUUCAC